GGGGAGGUAACUCUAAAAAAGUGCAUUUUCUGAAGGAUUCUGUAUGGAAUUUUCCUAUUUUGUAUUUUAGCCGGAAAAUUUCUUUUGAUAUUCUCAAAGCAGUGUCUGAAAGCUAUCUUUUCCUGAAGUAUUUAACAAUUCUAUCAUUUUGUUUAGUUUCUAAUCACAAAAUGGUGUUUUUUCCUGUAUAAUCCAUACAAAAUGUGUCAUUUUGUCCCGUCCUGUAGCUUGAGAAAAUGCGCGGUGACCUAUCAUUUUUAUUAUAUUUUUCAACAUGUAUCAAUAGAUACAAUGUUUUGGCAAAGUAUGAAUAAAUUCUAUCAUUUUUAUUUUAGACUCCCAUAUCACCUUAA
rnacentral:lncRNA from 1 species